UUGAUUAAUUACAAUUUUAUUCGCCAGGGGACUACGAGCGUAAGCUUAAAACCCAAAGGACUUGGCGGUGCCCUACACCUCCUAGAGGAGCCUGUUCUAUAAUCGAUGAUCCACGUUAUACCUCACCGUUUCUUGCCAAACCCGCCUAUAUACCGCCGUCUCCAACUUACCCUAUGAAGGAUUCACAGUAGGUUUAAAGAUCACUCAUCAGAACGUCAGGUCAAGGUGUAGCGAAUGAAACGGGAAGCAAUGGGCUACAUUUUCUAUCUUAGAUCACACGGAUAAUCAAUAUGAAACCUGAUUAUGAAGGAGGAUUUAGCAGUAAAAAGAAACCAACAUGUUCUUUUUAAGUCGGACCUAGGGCGCGUACACACCGCCCGUCACCCUCUUCAACUCAUUUCACUAUAUUUCAUAAUAAAAUUACUAGAGAUAAGAAGAGGCAAGUCGUAACAUGGUAAGUAUACCGGAAGGUGUACUUGGAAC
rnacentral:rRNA from 1 species